rnacentral:sRNA from 1 species
UAAAAACAAGCAAAGCCACCAGGAAAGAUGUGCACCUUUCAACUGAGCAGUCGGGAGGCUGAGACAGGGAGAAACCAGCCUGCAACCAGUCUGGGUCACACAAUCACGUCAGCUGUCCAUCCAUGGACUGAAACCUUUGGAAACGUGAGCUGAGUUCUGGUCCCUCCAUUUAAGUAAUUCCUCCCAGCACGAGAUGGGAAGCCCUGCCGUUCUUCUGAGUCACUGAGGGAUUUGGAUAUUAUUGGAUAUUUACAAGGAUGCUUGAUUUUAUUAGUACCUCAAAGGCCACACAAUCAACAGUCACAUGACGCAUGCAGGCUACAUGAACUGGAAUCUUGGAAGAAUGAUCCUCCAGGCGGAAGUACAGAACGAGAAGCAGAAAAGAGCCUGUCCCAAAGCCUGUCCGGGCUGGAACAGCACAGAGCUCAAGUUCACCUACCACUGGCUUCCUCCUUGACUGUCAGCCAGAAGUUCAGCAGCCAGGGAGACAGGGUCAUCUCCAUGGAGACCAGAAGAGCCAGGUUUCAGUGAUGGGAUCUGACAAGAUGACUACAGGAAGUCCUGCCUUCAAAAUCACCAUAGCGCCCUGUAAUCCCACCUCCAGCUCCUCAUCUGAAUGGCAUGAGGAAGGCUUGUACAAGGUAAUUGGCGAGCCCUCUUUCUGUCUGCAUGGCAUGUGUUGAGGAAGAGGCAAGUCUGGUCUCUGUGCAAACAGAAGGCAUGUAUUCCUCACCAUGGGUUUGAAGGAGAACUGAAGCUCUUCCCGUCCAGAUUGACCUGUACUUUCUGUUGUUUAUUUGGACCGAGAAUUAGCUUUGGACACAUCUACAGCAUGGAGUGAUUCCAUGCAGAGCUACAGACGACUUUUUAAUCAUCCUGUCAUGUAAUUAAGGGAUAAAAUAGGUCACAGGCAACCGAUGGAAAAGGGAAAAAAUAGGUUAUUCUCUUCAAUGAAGGCCACAUGUCUACAGCAUAAUCCUGGCGGGUUCUUGGGGUUUAUUUUUCCACUUUUGGUUUCGUUUUUUUUUUUUGUUUGUCUGUUUAUUUGGUUGUUUUUGGGACAGGAGAUAAUGCAGAUGGGCAUCAUUACAUAUUCAGAACCUGUAGACUGUGUUCAGUGCAGUGAUUCUGUUAUAUGACCCUUCCUUGGGAGGUAUGAAUAAACAUUUUUCUUCCCACAUGAACAGGCCAGCAAAAUCAUUCCCCCAAGUCAAGAUUAGUGAACUUGAUAGGUUACUAGGGUUACCUAAAGGGGCAUGGUAGACCCAAAGGCAGCUUCCUCAUCAAAAUGCCCACACCACCAUGGCUGAUGACUUGGAAAUGCUACAUCUUUGGAGUGCUCUGGUCAGCCUGCAAACAGCUUCCCCUCAAAGUCUCAUCUGACCAGAAGUUGUCUAGGCUACUACGAUAACCUGAGCAGGGGCUAUGUGAAUCUUGGGAUUCUGAGCUUUCUGGGAUUCCUGAGCCUCCUCAGCCCUUCAGGAAGAAAUGUUUCAAUUGAGAGGAAAUAGCUACCCAACAAGUAGGUGCAAAGCAGGGGACAGGAAUGGAGAACAUAGU